AGCUCCAAUAGCGUAUAUUAAAGUUGUUGCAGUUAAAAAGCUCGUAGUUGGAUUUUGGACCUGGACGGGCGGUCCGCCUCACGGCGUGUACUGUCUGGCUGGGUCUUUCCUCUUGGUGAUCUGUUGUUUCGGCAGCAGGGAACCAGGACCUUUACUUUGAAAAAAUUAGAGUGUUCAAAGCAGGCUUUACGCCGGAAUAUAUUAGCAUGGAAUAAUAAAAUAGGACGUGCGGUUCUAGUUUGUUGGUUGUUGGAAUCGCCGUAAUGAUUAAUAGGGAUAGUCGGGGGCAUUAGUACUCACAUGCUAGAGGGGAAAGUCUUGGAUUUUGUGAAGACUAACUACUGCGAAAGCAUUUGCCAAGGAUGUUG
rnacentral:rRNA from 1 species